rnacentral:sRNA from 1 species
UAUCCUACCCACGCGGGAAGGAUGAGAAGCUUCGACCAAGGUUCGAUUCGAGCGUAGCGAGAAAGCGUUGCCGCAGGCAACGACCCGAAGGGCGAAGCGCGCAGCGCUGAG